UGUAGCUGAGCAGCAUAGCACCUGCCUGGCAAGCAUGAGGUUCUGAGUUUGAUUCCCAGUA
rnacentral:tRNA from 1 species